UUUAACGGCCGCGGUACUUUGACCGUGCGAAGGUAGCGUAAUCACUUGUCUUUUAAAUGGAGACCUGUAUGAAUGGCAUAACGAGGGCUUAACUGUCUCCUUUUUCUAAUCAAUGAAAUUGAUCUCCCCGUGCAGAAGCGGGGAUAAACACAUAAGACGAGAAGACCCUGUGGAGCUUAAGAUAGUGGACAGACCAUGUUUAUAAAACUAACCUAAACAGAGUAAACUAAUUGAUUUACUGUGCCAUGUCUUUGGUUGGGGCGACCAUGGGGUAACAAAAAACCCCCACGUAGAAAGAGAGUAUUACUCUCACAACCCAGAGUGACAACUCCAAGUAGCAGAACCUCUGACUAAUCAUGAUCCGGCAAUGCCGAUCAACGGAUCCAGUUACCCUAGGGAUAACAGCGCAAUCCCCUCCGCAAGACCUUAUCAACGAGGGGGUUUACGACCUCGAUGUUGGAUCAGGACAUCCUAAUGGUGUAGCCGCUAUUAAGGGUUCGUUUGUUCAACGAUUAAAGUC
rnacentral:rRNA from 1 species